GAUGAGCCAGAAUUGGCACCUUGUCUAUAAAUAAGGUGCAAAAUGAUUUUAACUGAAGAGUUUGAUCAUGGCUCAGAUUGAACGCUGGCGGCAGGCUUAACACAUGCAAGUCGAGCGGGGGAAGGUAGCUUGCUACCGGACCUAGCGGCGGACGGG
rnacentral:rRNA from 1 species